rnacentral:rRNA from 1 species
UGUCUGGGAAACUGCCUGAUGGAGGGGGAUAACUACUGGAAACGGUAGCUAAUACCGCAUAACGUCGCAAGACCAAAGAGGGGGACCUUCGGGCCUCUUGCCAUCAGAUGUGCCCAGAUGGGAUUAGCUAGUAGGUGGGGUAACGGCUCACCUAGGCGACGAUCCCUAGCUGGUCUGAGAGGAUGACCAGCCACACUGGAACUGAGACACGGUCCAGACUCCUACGGGAGGCAGCAGUGGGGAAUAUCGCACAAUGGGCGCAAGCCUGAUGCAGCCAUGCCGCGUGUAUGAAGAAGGCCUUCGGGUUGUAAAGCUCUUUCAGGUGGAAAGAAAGCGGAUGGGCUAAUACCCUGUUCGGAUGACGGUACCACCAGAAGAAGCACCGGCUAACUACGUG